rnacentral:tRNA from 1 species
AAAUAAGAAGUAAAAAAUUACAUUUAAUUUCGACCUAAAAAAUUGGUGAACUUCACCCUUAUUUA